rnacentral:ncRNA from 2 species
AAUAGGGUGCCCGACGAUGGUUCCCCGAAUCGAAAGGUCCGGGGUGAAAAGGGAACAUGGUGAGGCUCUUCGGGCCGAGGCCAUGGCUGCCCCCGCAACUGUAAGCGGUAGCAAAGUCCGAAAUACGCCACUGGCCGACAGGCCGGGAAGGCAGGACCGAGCCGAGACCCGCGAGCCAGGAGACCUGCCAUCGCAACGAGUUGACC